rnacentral:tRNA from 1 species
AGGGGGUUCGCCAAGUUGGUAAGGCAUCGGAUUUUGAUUCCGACAUGCGGGGGUUCGAGUCCCUCACCCCCUG